AAUAAUUAACCAGCGCUUUGCUCUUUGGGGAUUACAUAGCUAACCGUCCAUAAUCCACAUGUGGUUGUUCUCUCUGCAAGUAAGUUCCAGCACGAUUUUGGAAACUGAGUAGAUUUUCUCCAUGAGCUCCUUGCUUACUCCUGGCUGAGUUCCCACCCGCCCCCAAUCUUGUGUGUGUUUAUAAAAAUGUAGACAACUUAAUAUGAAGCCAUGUAUUAAGUUAGUAGGGAGGGAGCUGUGCACUCACAAUCCAGAUGCAUUAAAAAAGCUAAACACAGGAGACAUGUGGAUCCUCUAACCUGCAGUUCCUUCCCAACUCAGAAACUACUUCACUAAGAGGUAAGCAUUUUAAUUUAUCUCGUUGGUGGAGAAACAGAGUAAGCUGUCGUGUGGUUUUGUAAUCUUUAAUCGAUAUAAUUCUUAAACCAUGCCUUUGUAUGAACACCAAUAUUAACUUUCAUCCAACAGCCUUUCCUGACAGCUAAAAUAUUUGCUGUCACUGGUUCAGCUCUGAAUUCUCAGAUCAGCCACGGCUGAUCCCCAGUGCCUUGCCCCAGCCCCAGGACAGGCGCACCAGUAGAGCUGUGGCUGGCUGGUGAGGUAUCAACCACCCCAGGAGUCUGAAUCCUGGAGAUGAAUGGAGAAGUGGCAAGGUUAGAGCCCCAGAAGAAGGUUGGGAUAUAAAUACAAGGAAAUGCUUAAAAUGCAGUGGUGGAAAUCUGAAAACAUGGGUCUUGGGUUAUCACUGGGAAAAGUAAAGCAUAAUAAAUCCAGGCCAAAUUAAAAGUAAGGGAUUUCUAAAUUAAAAACAGUGCAUGUUACGAAAGGCCCGGGCAUGCACGUUUUUAAGGAAAAACAACAGUAUUAAGCAUUCCUGAUAUUUGUUGAGGCAGAAAAAAAUAUUUCAGGUCAAGGGAAGCCCAAAAGCAAAAGGGGCAAGACUGUAUCAGCAUCUUCCCAGCCUGUUAGGAAGGACGAGGGGGAUGGUGCUGUGGUAUUCUUCCUUGCUAAUGGUAGCUAUCAGUGGGAUAAAGUACAGGAACCGUGAAAGCAACUAUUUAAAAUGUAUGAAUCAAUGUGCUAUUAUACUCAGGGUCUUAGUAUGCUUUUUGUCACGAUAAUGAAAUACCUGAGGAGAUUAACUGAUAAAGAGAAAUGUGAAUUUUGGCUCAUGGCUCUCUAGCUGAUGAGGGAUCCUCACGCUACGGAAUUCUGAAGAGGGCAUCACAUGAAGGUGGUGUGGGGAAGACACCUACACCAUAAGCCAGAAAGCAAAGAGAAACAUGAGCAGGGUCCUCGUGAUCCCAUUCAGGGGCAUCACCCGGUGGUUCUCUUACAAAGUCACACACACCUCCCCUGGUCUCCACACCUCCCAGCAGCUCCACCCUGGGAACUAAGUUUUAGAAAUUCUGGCAGGAAAUCUGAUCCAAACCGUGAGACCUGGGUCACAAUUUCAGGCCGUUUUCAUCAUUUUUACUAGAAAGCCUAGACCUUUUAGCGAGGACCCUCCUCACAGCUAGCCAGUCUUCACACAUCCCUGCACAGUCCCUAAGCUACUGCCUGGCUAUAGGUUUCCUAUUGUAGAGAUUUCAUUAUAAUGGAAUCAAACCAUCUGUCAUAUCCUGAACUGCUUUGCCUUCCUUGUCACAAUGUCCUCAAGCCUCAACCACAGGUGGCGAGUAUCAGUAUGCCACGUUUUAUAUUGCCUUUAACCCUUCUAAGAAUGGCGUAGGCGUACGCACUGAAAGUGUGAAAAAUCAAAGAAUCGUCACAGGAACACGAUGAUAUAUACACGCCGGGCAUUGAAACAAUUCGGAUACAAGCCACACAAUCACGUGGAGGAAAAGGGAGCUUAUUCACAAGCAGUCUUUCGGUUUUCAGAUCAAGCAAAAUGAAAGGACGUGAAAAGAAUGCGUCUGGAGUAAAGAAUACGUGCGUGUCCCUGUGGCUGUCCCCAAGCAUAUGUGACAAGAGAUGCAGGGUUAGAGCAACUGUCUUGUUGGCUACCAGCAAACGAGCAAGCAGGAGCCAACGAAAUCAGACAGCCAGCAGGUGCGCUAGGAGUCCUCACCGCAGGGCUGAGACUCUGCCAAUCAACCUGUGCCUCCCAUUGCCAGCGACUAGGGCGUGGCUACAAUCCUUUCGCUGAAAAUGAGCGUUCGUAAGCGAUGAUAAAUAGCCUUAUAUGUGCGCAUCUGGAUGCCGGGUCCUAACACACGGGGAGGGUGUACCACCCAGAAAUAACUCCAAAGUGAAAAUAGAAGGCAGAGACGCAAAGUGAACUCAAAGCUUUGUUUAUCAACAGGAAAGGCGUGGCUGUGACGGGGAGAUGGCGUGCGUGAGGCUGAAUCGAGAUUCCCGAGCAGGCACGCCUGUGUCGGUAAAGGACACCUGACCGUGUUCUUGAAUUCCGCCACUGUAAUCACUUUCAUGGUCAUCUCUUGAUGGACGUCUAGGCUGGCUCCGUUCCCUGGCCAUCCUGAAUAUAUGCAGCAAUAAAGAAGGCUACAUGUUUAAUCAUAAACACUGAGCAAGCAUGGCGGCGGUGUGCUGAAUUAUGGUCCUUCAGGUAUAUGAGCAUUUGCCUGCUUGCAUGUAUGUGCACCACAUGUGUGCCCACCGCCAGCAGAGGACAGAAGAGCACAUUAGAUUUCCCGGAGGUGGCGGUAAAGGAAUUGCAUGCUGCUGUGUGGGUGCUGGGAGUGAACUUAGGUCUCAAACACUGAGUCAUCUUUCUAGCCCUGAGCACCUCUCUGUCAGGGAUAGAUUUCAGGACAUUUUUAUUAACAUAGAAUCUUUGGCUAUCGUCAUCAUUCUAUGGACACUUUUUAAAGGAGUUCUUGCGGGGUUAAAAUCUUAUGUUAACAAGCAAUACACAACUGUAGGAAGGACAGAUCUUCACAUCCAAGGUAAGAACAGAAACCCUUUACCAGCAUCUUAAACACAGCAAGAGUUGGUCGUGCUUACAAGAAGGAGAGAGGUCUCUAAGGAGAGCGGUCUCUCACAGAGAACUGGGGGCACAGAUUUCUGUUAGGGAGUAGGUUCUUUCCGGAAGGUACAAGUCGGAAAUCUGAUUUCCCAAAGGCUUGACCUGCGGUUCCGAAGAUAAUUCCAACAGCUAGGAUAGCUAACUCAGAACAAAUUGCCCUUCCUGGAACUGAUGAGAAUAGUCCCUGCCAACAUCCUGCCUGGAUUCCAGCGCUCGGGACUUUAAGAAGUCUUCUUUAUCAGUUCAUUCAUAAUCUGUAACAGUACUAUAGAAAACCUGGGCAGGGCUGGCAACACCUCUCAUUCGUGGGCCUCUUAAAACAAAGGAACAUUUCCGACAAGCUGAACUCGUGUGUGAACUUAAAAAAAAAAAUCACUUUAGAAAUAAUGGUAGGUGGCUGGGCAUAGGUAGGUGGUACACACCUUUAAUCUCAGCACUCAAGGGGCAGAGGUAGUCAGAUCUUUUAAUAAUGGGCACCAAGUUCUCAAUUGGUUUUGGGGAGACAUUUCAUGUAUAAGCCAUAAUGUGCCUAAUCUUUCCUAACCUCACAUUUCCUGAUUCUCCUGAUGAGCACUGUUUUAUCUCUGCUUUUAUGAGAUCAGCUUUGCUAUAUUCCACAGAGGAGCGAGACCAUGCAGUACUUUGGGACCUGGCUUAUUUCGCUUAGCAUAGUGUGUUCCAGGUCCACUCACAUUACUGGAAAUGACAUCACAAAGAAAGGAAAACUGGGGUGACACAUACACUAAUUAAUUACCUCAAUAUGAUCAUUAUACAAUGUAUAUAUUGUGUCAAAACCUUUCUUAGUGCCUCAGAAAUACAUAUAAUUGUUAUCUGUCAGUUAAAAAUAAAAUAAGAAAUAAAUUACAGACACUUGAAUCAUUACAUUAAAAUUUGUUUUUGGGAAAGUUGGACCACAAAACACUAUAUUGCUCACAGCUCAGUGGUGAAGAAAACUUAUUUGUCUUGCAAAGGACCUGAGUUCAGCUCCUGGCACCCACAUCUGGCCGGGCAGCUUUCAACCAUCUUUAACUCCAGCUCCAUGAGUUCCAAACCCCUUUUCUGGCCUCUGUGGACACAUGUAGAAAUGUGGCAUAGUCUCACAGACACAUACUCAUUGAUAGCCUCUGUUCAGACCACAAUAAAAAUAAAAUUUAAACAAGAAACUAUGUCACCAAUUAGUAAUUGUGCAUAAACAAACCAUGAAAUAAAUACAAUGAGAGGAAAAAAAUACAUACAUUUCUUAGUCUAAUCAGCAUGAGAAUGUCAAUCCCAUUAAUGGAUUAGUUCAUACAGUAGUUCACAGCGGAAUAGGCUCUUAGGAGGCGAGGCCAAUUGAGAAGCAAUUGAUCUGUGCCUACCUGCUCUCUCUGCUUCUUGCCUGUUGUGAAGUGAGCUGCUUUCCUCUGUUGUGCACUUCUGCCUUGUCACAGACCUAAGAACAACUGAGCCAGAUAACCAUAUCCUGACACCACAGCCAAUUAAACCUUCCCUCUUUAGUAGGUCCUUCCCACCUCAGGUAUUUUCUCAUAGCAGUGAAGGCUGAGUAACAUAGAACUUUAUUUAGUAAUCCAUCCAUCCAUCCAUCCACUUGUCUAUCCAUCUAGCUAUCUAACCAUCAUCCAUCCAUCCACCCACCCAUCCAUCCAUCUAUCCAUCUGCUGGAGUCCUGGCAUCUGAAAAGAGGGCCUUACACAUAUUAGACGAAUGUUCUGCCAUUGAAGCGUUUUUCUACAUAAUUUAUUUUUUUAAGGUGAUGCCAGAAAACAUGUGAAGAUAUACAGGGAGGGGAAAUUUUCCAAUCAUUAUUGCUAUGUAAAAUCAGCUCUCAGUUGUAUGAAACAACCAACAUGCAUUACAAAACAUUUUCUUCAACAGAGGCCCAGGAACUUAGCUUUGAGUAUCUGUGGGGCUUCGGGCAUCUGAAGGCUCUUCUGGGGUAUCGAGUAUUCCAGAGGGUGUGACACAUGAGAUGCACAGCAUAAGGACUUCUGUGUUGUCAGACCUCUCACCUGAUGUAGGAAUUUCCAGAGUCCGAGAUUUGAUCCCAGAAUAAAUAGGAGUCAGUGGUCUUGUACGGUGCUGCUCAAAAACCAUACAAGGUCCCUUCUGCCUAAGUCUUUUAGUUAAAGCAGCCCUGUGCCAAAUGAGAGAGGAUAGGGGUGCAAGCACUGCAUGAGAAGGAUAGAAUGCUGACUAACUUGAUAGGAAAAAUCACAGCACAAAGUCCAUGUAAUUAACCUAAGAAGUUCUGGGUUAUAAUCAGCUCAAACCCUGAGUGUGGAAAGCAUCUCUCACAGUUGCCUGUGGGGAAGUUGAGGAACGUAAGGUUGCUAACUGCCAACUUCCCAUCAGCAGUUGGUUUGGGCGGGAGAGGAGGAGGAGGACUGUGUGCUCCCCUAACACAGACAUCCAUCCUGCUCCUAAGCAGCAGAAAGCCUCAGGCACAGGAGCUGGUGUUUGGGGCAGGCAGCCUCUCAGGGACGGAGCUGCUCCUGGAGAUGAAUGCCAAUGGAUUCUGAGUAAAGAGCUCGGUCUCAGAGAGAGCAUUUUUCCUUGUCAUUAAAUAUUCAUUGUGAUGACUUCUAAUGGUUACAUAGAUACUUUACUUUUUUUAAAUUAACAUCUUUUUUCAUAAAGCGGAGAAAUAGAAAGGAAAAAAAACCCCACAGUUUGGCCAAUUAGUGCCACUAAACUAGACCAUCAAUUAUACAUCUUCCUGUUUUUCCUUAGCAUGCUCCUUAUUUAUUUAGUUUUAUAAGUAUGUAUAAAAUUAAACAAGAUAAAUGUCAUUGGCCUUUACAUGCAUGAGCGCAACAGACUUUGAUCUUAUCAUGAGACUAUCAGUCCCCUUCUUUCCCAAAAUCUCCCUUCUUGUCUUUAAAAACAAAUAAAGGAUUCCACGUAUGAGAGAAAGCGUGUAAUCCUGAGGUUUUGUUUUUCAUUAAUUUUAUAAUAGAAUUGCACCUCUCCCUCCUUCCUCCCUCCAGGCCCCCCACCUCUCCGUGCCUGUCUCCAACUCCUUUCACACCCUCACCCUCAAGUUGAUAGCCUCUUCUUUAUUCACGGUCACUGUUAGAUACACAUAAACAUUUGUAAACACAUGCAUGUACAAAUAUACAAGCACAACCUACUGAGUCCAUUUUUGUCAUUGUGCAUAUGGUUUCUGACAACUUUCCUCAUUCCCCCAGUGGUUAUCGCCACCGUGACUGGUGUUGCCAUUUCGCAAUGGCUUCACAGGAAUGCCAUCUGCAUGAAGCUGCUGAGGACCAGGUUGUUCUAGAGAAGGUUGGCUGAUCCUGAACUGUCAUGGGAAAGACUUUGGCAUCUUCACAGCUAUUGUAGCAGCCAUUGCUGCUGCAGCCACUGUGUCUGCAGUGUCUGGGAUUGCCCUCCACUGAUCUGAUGUUAAGGCAAGCACAGUGGGUAAACUUUCAGGAGUAGUUGCUGACAAUUGGGAAUUCUAAAUUUAAAUUGAUAGGAACAGCUUGACAAUGGCCCUCAGUGUUAUGGCCCUCAGGUGUCUUGGCCCCAGGGUGCCACAGUAGUAGGCUUUUUGCUCCUUAUCACAUGCACAAACAGCACGCCCAGUUCUGGGCAGAGACUAAGCAUGUGUUGCUCUCCUUGGUAGGAGACAAUCCCUCUGCCCAAAUCGGGCUCAGCCUUUACGAGAAGCAGUUAGCCAAAGACAGGCAACUCUUUGAGAUCAAUCCUCACCUAAGACAGGAAACUCUGAGACUGGCAGAGAUUUUCCAGAGAUGGGUUGCCACCCUGAAAGGGUCCUAAGACAGGCGCUGCUUAAUAAAAAAAAUAAAAAAGGGGGACUUGUCGGACCCUCCUGGGUCCCCUGAAGUGUUCAACUCCUGCUGAAACUCUGCUAAUGCAUGUAGAAGCCUUUUGUUCCUAACAAAGGAAUGCCCUGGCCCGGCAGCAACACACCUAGGCGUACACCUGGGCGUGCACCUGGGCGUACACCUGGGCAUGCACCUGGGCGUACACCUGGGCGAUGGUCCAUUCAUUCCUGUCUUUUGUUCUCAGUCUUUGUUCCUGGGACUUAGGCUGGUCUUCCUGGAAUUUUCCACCCUGUGAACUUGGGGUAUAUAUUUGGUUAAUAAAGCUACAGAAUUGGCAUUCUCUCUUAACACGAAUGACCCACAUAUGUGUGUUUUUUAAUCCCGCAGGCUUACGCCCGGAUCUCUGUGCCGUGUUGGUGCGGGCAUCGACAACAUUGGACAACAUGGAGGUUCAUCAUUAGGAGAGGCCAAUUCUGCCUCUCUCAACAGACAUUAGUUGCCUGGUUUUGUUGUCGUCGUUGUUGUUGUUUGUGUUGUUUUGUUUUUGUCUAGGGGUGGGAUUCUACGGGAGAUUGCUUUCCACUUCUACCUUAGCAUGUCUAUUGGUAUCGCUGUUCUUCUGGUCUUGCGUAUGCAGUCGUGUCCAGGACAGACUGCCUUGCAGCAGACUUCCUAAUAGUCUGACUCUUAGCAUCUUUACACCCGACUCUCCAAGAUGGUUCCUGUGCCGUAGAUGCAGGAGCUAUGGUGCAGAUGUAUCCACUGGGGCUGGGCUCCUCACAAUAAUCUUUGCAUGACCAACUCUGGCUUAGUUCAUGACAACGAUGAAAUCCACCUGAAUGAGAAGAGUCUUCCAUAGACUCACCUAUGUGAACACUGGAAAGGUUCUAGAACCUUCAGGAGGAAGGAGAGCCUUACUGGAGGAAGUGGGUGGACUUCGAGCGUUUAUGAUUCACCCCACUUCCAAUGUGUGUUUUAUCUUUGUCUUCUCCGUUUGCUUCUCCAACUCCCUCUUUCUCUCCUCAUAACCCCAUCUUUAAAUUAGUUCCUUGAAAAUUUUUACACAAUGUGUUCAGAUCAUAUUCAUGCCUCCCUAUCUCCCAAAGUCCUCCCAGAUCCAGCCCCUGUCUAUAACCACCUAACUUUCCAGCCUCUUUUUCCUUUUUAACCCAUCUAAUCUAAUUUGUGUUGCCCCUCUAUUCUUAGCUGUGUGGUCUUCCACUAGAGUACUGCCAACCUACCAUGGACUGUACUGUUAGAGAAGACCGACUCUCCCUCUGCCAACAGCUAUCAACUGCCCAUAGCAACUCAGAUAGACAUGGGACUUCAUGCCCUAGCCUCCCCAUGCUGGAAUUGUGCCUGGCUUGAAUUUGUGUGGGUCAUAUGCAUGAUUCAAAGCUCGAAAGCCACAAAGAGUCUUAGGAAGGCCGCAGGUAAGCUGAGGCUUAGAAGUCAGAGGAGUCCAGAGUUGAGAACGUUCCUAUCGGUCACAUUCAAGUCCUCAGUGACUUUUUGCCAAACGGUAAAUAAAACCCCUUUUGUUAAUUAAUGUGACUAGAGCAAGUUAAGUGUGGAAUGUUUACUGUGGCUCACAGUUCCAGAGUACAGUCUGUCACAGUGAGAAGCCAUGUGGCAAGGAGCUGGAGGCAGCUGGUCACACUUCAUCUCCAGUCAGAACACAGAGAGCAAACAUCACUACUGCUGGAUUUCCUUUCUCCGAGCCUCCUUAUCUGACCUAGAACCAAGACCAUGGCUAGAGAGAUGGCUCAGUGGUUAGGGCCUUGGCUGCUUCUCCAGAGGGCCUGAGUUCAAUCUUCAGCAAGCACUUGGUAGCUCACGAGCAUCUAUAAUGUGAACUAAUGCCCCCUUGUGGCUUACAGUAUAUACAUACCAAUCUCAUAUACAUAAAAAUAAGUAAGUCCUUUUUUAAAAAUGCUAGAACCCAAAGUAUGAUAUGGCACAGGCCACAGUCACAAUAAAAAUCCCUCACAGGCAAUGACUAGCCUAAGCUAGACAAUUCCUCACAGGCUUGCCCAAAGGCUAACCUGAUCUAGGUAACCCCUCACAGACAUGCUCAGAGGCUAACCUGAUCUAGGUAACUCCCUCCUCACAGCCAUGCUCAGAGGCUAACCCGAUCUAGGUAACCCCUCAUGGGCUAUGUCCAGAGGCUCCUUUCCUAGCUGGUUCUACUUGACAAUCAAUAUAAACCUUCACCCUUCAGACAAGCAAGUAGACAGCAAGACCCCAAACAAUGUGGCCCUCCUAUCUCUCCAUACUCCUUCCCCCCAUUAUACACCAACCACAUUCUCCUUCCUCCCCAUUAUACACCAGUCACAUUCUCCUUCCCCCCAUUAUAUACCAGUCACAUUCUCUAUAUAACACGAACACCUCGAAUCUUUCUAGACUCAAGGCCUUUGCCAUAUUGCAUGCUUCUGCCUGGCUCACCCUACUGUAUUCAGUUCCUUCUACUUAAUUAGCAUACACUUCUGUGGUAGCAUGAAUGGAAAUGGAUCCUACGCUAUCAUAGGGAGUGGCAUUAUUGGAAGUGUGGCCUUGUUGGAAGAAGUGUGUCACUUGAGGUUGGGCUUUGAAGUCGCAGAAGCCAGGCCUGGUCUGUCUAGAUAAGACAGGAGCACUGUCUCUUCCUGCUGCCUGCCAACAGGGUGUAGAACUCUCAGCUACCUCUCCAGCACCGUGUCUGCCUUCUUGCCACCAUGCUCCCAUCAUGAUGAUAACGGAUUAGACCUCUGAAACAUAAGCCAGCCCUAAUUAAAUGCUUUCCUUUAUGAGAGUUGUUGUGGUCGUGGUGUCUCUCCAUAGCAAAAGGAACCCUGACUAAGACAGCCACUAUUUGUAUGCGACUUCAUCAUGAAAGAGUUUGGAAGUGGGUCUCCGUUAGUAGCCACCUCACUCAUCGGUUUUUCUCACAGCGUUUAUCAUGAUUGGUAGGAGGUUUUGCUUUUGCCUCUUCUUCCAACUAGAAGCCAUCCAUUAGGACCUCCUCAGGACAUUCAGUACAGAGCAUGAUAUGACAAAGGUCUGGAAGUCCCUUCAUCACAGCACACAUGAAGUUAGAAAGUGAAGGUGGGACCUGAAAAGACAGCUCAGCACUUAAGAGCAUUUCCAGAGGACCAGGGUUCAUUUCCAAGCACCCAUCCCUGGGUAGUUCACAACUACCUCUAAGUCAUGUUCCAGAGGAUCCAAUGUCCUCUUCUAGACUGCAGGAAUGAUACCUAUGUGAUGCACACUUACACUCAGGAACUCAGAGGAUCCAAUGUCCUCUUCUAGACUGCAGGAAUGAUACCUAUGUGAUGCAUACUUACACUCAGGAUCACACACAUUAAAUACAUAAAGAAUGAACCUUUUUUUUUUUAAAGUGAAGGCAUAUAGACCCAACUAUGUGUCCCAGUGAUAGAUAUAAACUCUCAGUAUUUCUGAGAAGAUGGGGUCUCCUUCCAACCACACAGUGGGGAGGAGGGGGAAUAUUGGUUUAACUUGGAAAAUAACAAAAAUUUUUAAAGAAAGUUUUACUUUCAAAAGAGAGCAACAACACAUAUCUUUCACAGAAUUAACGUCCUCGGAGUCAUGCCGGGAGCUUUGCGAGCUUGACUUAUUACAAGUUAUAGGGGGAAAAAAGAUCUUAAGUUCGUGAGUUUUCUUCUGCUUCUGUCCUGCUAAUCCCACAUUCUAUGGGACAUUUGGAGGAGGCCAAAACAGUUAAAUAAUAGAUGGUCCCGUUAAAUAAAAUAAGACACCCAAUUCAGAGAUAUGGGAGAGAGUCACAUUAAUCUCAAACAAGGCUUUUUCUCAAAUGUCACUGAGAUUGUCGCUGUGCUAGAAUUUUCUUCUUUUCAAGGCUGCACAAGAUGCCAUUGCAAAUCUCUCCCACAUUUUGCUUCCCAUUCUGCUACGGGCAGGCUCUUGGGUUGCACCCAUAAUUUAACUCCUGUAAAUAAUAUGAGUUUACAAAUAUUUCUCUAUUACUCUAUUUUAUUUGUUCUCUGGAGGGAUAAAACCAAAAUUAAAAUCGCUCUGUUGUGUAAUAAUUCUCUUCUGAGGUUUUGAGGGAUGGCCAUACCCCUUCCCACAGCUGUACACUGCUUUACAUCCUCACCAGCAGUACAUAAGGCUGCUCACGUCUCUCCAUGUUCUCACCAACAUUCCUUCCUUCCCUCCUCUCCUCUCCUUUCCCCCUUUCCUGUUUGUUUUUGUUGUCAUCCCCCAUUUGUGUAAGAUGGUAUCUGUCUGCAGAGUUGAUCAUAUUCUUUUGUACGUAGUGGGUGGUUGUAGAUCUUUGGAGGAAUAUUUCUAACCCUUUUGGUCAUUUCAGAGAAGUGGAAGCCCCCCUUGGGUACUACCCUGCCCUGGGACAUCAAGUCACAGCAGACCUAAGUGCAUCCUCUCCCACUGAGGCCAGACAAGGCAGUCCAGGUCAGAGAAGGGAAGCCAAUGAGAGGCAACAGAGUCAGAGACAGCCCCUGCUCCAAUUGUUAGGGACUCACUUGAAGACCAAGCUGCACAUCUGUUACAAAUGUGGGGGGCCUAGGUCCAGUUCUUCAUGCCCUUGGGUUGAUGAUUCAGUCUCUGUGAGCCUCCAUGGGCACGGGUUAGUUGACUCUGUAGGUCUUCCUGUGGUGUCCUUGACCCCUCAGGCUAGCUCAAUCCUAUCUCCCACUCUUCCACAAGACUCGGGAGCUCCACCAGAUGUUUGGCUAUAUGGGUCUCUGCAUCUGUUUUCAUCAGAUACUGCUGGAUGAAGGCCCUCGGGAGAUAUUUAUGCUAGGCUCCUGUCUGCAGGCAUAGCAGAGUGUCAUUAAUAGUGUUAGGGGUUGGCUCUCUCCCUUGGGAUGAGUCUCAAGUUGGGCCAGCCAUUGGUUGGCCAUUCCCUCAGCCUAUAUCCCUGUGCCUCUUGUAGGCAGGACCAAUUUUAAGUUGAAGGAUCUGUGGGUGAGUUGAUAUUCCCCUCCCUCCAGUGGAAGUCCUGCCUAGACAGGAGGUGACCACUUCAGUGUCCAUCUCAGCUGGCAAGGAGUCUCAGCUGGGGUCACCUCACAGACUCUAAGGAGCCUCCCCUCUCCCGGAAUAUUUUUAAUUAGGCAAAUCUUGCCUUGGAAAAUCCCUAAGUAUUUUGUUAUUCUUGAUGCUCUAACAAGUUGAAAUACUUUUUAAAUUUCCUUUUUAGGUGGCUCAUUCUUAGUGUAGAGAAGUUCAACUAACUUUUGUCUGUGGAUGCGUAUUUAGCAGAUUUGUGUGGUAUGUGUGUGCACGUAUGCAAUCACUAGAAUUUUCUAUCUAUAGCUUCUCUCAUCUGUAAGGAGAAGUAAUGUUACUCCUUCUCUGAUUGGCAUUAAACAUUAAAUGUAUUGACUUUAUUUUUGUUCGAUUUUUAACUGCCUUUCUUUUAUUUUGGCUAUUCUGCACAAAGCUCCCAGUACUGCGCUGAUAGAAAAAAAAAAACAAAAACGUUUGAACAAAGGCAGCCCUAAUUGUCCAUGCUUUUAGUGGAAAAGUUUUUGGCCUUUCGACAUAAUUUAUAAUGUUUGCUGUUAACUUUCCUAUUGCCUAUUGUGAUAUGGUACCUUCUAUUCCUGGCUGGUUGAGUAUUUUUCAUCAUGAAAUGUAUUAAAUUGUAUUAAAUGCUUUCUUU
rnacentral:sRNA from 1 species